GCCAGGCAACCACCUAGCCUUACUGAAGUUUCUGCCAAGAGAUGACUCACUCCGUGGACACUCAUGCUUGCUGCUUUCUUAUUGAGUAGGCCAGAAGGAUGUCUUUG
rnacentral:lncRNA from 1 species